UAAGGGCGCACGGUGGAUGCCUUGGCACUAGAAGCCGAUGAAGGACGUUACUAACGACGAUAUGCUUUGGGGAGCUGUAAGUAAGCUUUGAUCCAGAGAUUUCCGAAUGGGGAAACCCAGCAUGAGUUAUGUCAUGUUAUCGAUAUGUGAAUACAUAGCAUAUCAGAAGGCACACCCGGAGAACUGAAACAUCUUAGUACCCGGAGGAAGAGAAAGAAAAUUCGAUUCCCUUAGUAGCGGCGAGCGAAACGGGAAGAGCCCAAACCAACAAGCUUGCUUGUUGGGGUUGUAGGACACUCUAUACGGAGUUACAAAGGACGACAUUAGACGAAUCAUCUGGAAAGAUGAAUCAAAGAAGGUAAUAAUCCUGUAGUCGAAAAUGUUGUCUCUCUUGAGUGGAUCCUGAGUACGACGGAGCACGUGAAAUUCCGUCGGAAUCUGGGAGGACCAUCUCCUAAGGCUAAAUACUCUCUAGUGACCGAUAGUGAACCAGUACCGUGAGGGAAAGGUGAAAAGCACCCCGGAAGGGGAGUGAAAUAGAACCUGAAACCGUGUGCUUACAAGUAGUCAGAGCCCGUUAAUGGGUGAUGGCGUGCCUUUUGUAGAAUGAACCGGCGAGUUACGAUUUGAUGCAAGGUUAAGCAGUAAAUGUGGAGCCGUAGCGAAAGCGAGUCUGAAUAGGGCGUUUAGUAUUUGGUCGUAGACCCGAAACCAGGUGAUCUACCCUUGGUCAGGUUGAAGUUCAGGUAACACUGAAUGGAGGACCGAACCGACUUACGUUGAAAAGUGAGCGGAUGAACUGAGGGUAGCGGAGAAAUUCCAAUCGAACCUGGAGAUAGCUGGUUCUCUCCGAAAUAGCUUUAGGGCUAGCCUCAAGUGAUGAUUAUUGGAGGUAGAGCACUGUUUGGACGAGGGGCCCCUCUCGGGUUACCGAAUUCAGACAAACUCCGAAUGCCAAUUAAUUUAACUUGGGAGUCAGAACAUGGGUGAUAAGGUCCGUGUUCGAAAGGGAAACAGCCCAGACCACCAGCUAAGGUCCCAAAAUAUAUGUUAAGUGGAAAAGGAUGUGGCGUUGCCCAGACAACUAGGAUGUUGGCUUAGAAGCAGCCAUCAUUUAAAGAGUGCGUAAUAGCUCACUAGUCGAGUGACACUGCGCCGAAAAUGUACCGGGGCUAAACAUAUUACCGAAGCUGUGGAUUGUCCUUUGGACAAUGGUAGGAGAGCGUUCUAAGGGCGUUGAAGCAUGAUCGUAAGGACAUGUGGAGCGCUUAGAAGUGAGAAUGCCGGUGUGAGUAGCGAAAGACGGGUGAGAAUCCCGUCCACCGAUUGACUAAGGUUUCCAGAGGAAGGCUCGUCCGCUCUGGGUUAGUCGGGUCCUAAGCUGAGGCCGACAGGCGUAGGCGAUGGAUAACAGGUUGAUAUUCCUGUACCACCUAUAAUCGUUUUAAUCGAUGGGGGGACGCAGUAGGAUAGGCGAAGCGUGCGAUUGGAUUGCACGUCUAAGCAGUAAGGCUGAGUAUUAGGCAAAUCCGGUACUCGUUAAGGCUGAGCUGUGAUGGGGAGAAGACAUUGUGUCUUCGAGUCGUUGAUUUCACACUGCCGAGAAAAGCCUCUAGAUAGAAAAUAGGUGCCCGUACCGCAAACCGACACAGGUAGUCAAGAUGAGAAUUCUAAGGUGAGCGAGCGAACUCUCGUUAAGGAACUCGGCAAAAUGACCCCGUAACUUCGGGAGAAGGGGUGCUCUUUAGGGUUAACGCCCAGAAGAGCCGCAGUGAAUAGGCCCAAGCGACUGUUUAUCAAAAACACAGGUCUCUGCUAAACCGUAAGGUGAUGUAUAGGGGCUGACGCCUGCCCGGUGCUGGAAGGUUAAGAGGAGUGGUUAGCUUCUGCGAAGCUACGAAUCGAAGCCCCAGUAAACGGCGGCCGUAACUAUAACGGUCCUAAGGUAGCGAAAUUCCUUGUCGGGUAAGUUCCGACCCGCACGAAAGGCGUAACGAUUUGGGCACUGUCUCAACGAGAGACUCGGUGAAAUCAUAGUACCUGUGAAGAUGCAGGUUACCCGCGACAGGACGGAA
rnacentral:rRNA from 1 species